UCUGGUAUCUACCAUUAAUCACUGAUAUUUUGGAUUUGAUUGUGAUCUAUAUAUAUGAUUUAUGCCUUUUGUCUUUGUCCUUGCUUGUGUAACUUUUGAUCAACCGUUGCAGGAUGUUAAAUGUCCAGGCUGCUUCCAAAUGUAAGUUCCUGAAAAAGAGCGGUUAAAUUCCUCGUGUUAUAAGUUUCCAUGUAGUAGUAAGGUACUAAUAAUCGAUCCAACUUUUACAGAACAACAAUUUUCAGCCACUCGCAAACCGUGGUUACAUGCCCCAACUGCCAGCAAGUGCUCUGCCAGCCAACUGGUGGACGCACAAAACUUACUGAGGGAUGCUCUUUUAGGGUUAAAGAGAAGGCUAUGAUGGUCGUGGGUUGAUAUUUGCUAGAGGUUCUGGUUAAGCUGUGACAUUAUAAAUUAGGUUUUUGAAGAAUGAGUUGGUUAAGAGAACUUUUCCUUUGCUCGGUAGUACUUUUUUGUUUUGAGUUCUGACUUUGAUGAAUACUUUGGCAAUCAUAUUACUCUUACCACAUUUUGAAGUACUUAAUCUUCUUCCUGAUCUUGAUUUUAACAUUACUUAAUCUUCUUCCUGAUCUUGAUUUUAACAUUUUUCAGAAGAUACUCCAUGUUUGUUUGUGCUUUUAUGUUUUUGGUAUUCAUGUUUAAUGCUAGAAAUAUGCCCUGUUUUGAAUUUGAAGCGCAUGGCUGUUCCUUUGGAUAAAAUUAAGUCGAGUAACUUGCUUUGAGUCUCUAUUGCAAGAUAAACACGACGUUUAUACUCUACUUUUGACUGGUGCAAUGUGCCAUGAAAAUUGCUUGAAUCCGUCAGGAGCUUGACUCACUCAAUCCAAGCCUCAGAAUGUUUCUAGCUAUGUUUGGUAAACCUUUUUGGGAUGUUAUGUGUACUUAUAAACUAACCGCAACUUUAUGGUAUCGAGUAUAACUGAAUAAAGAAGUAUGUACAGGAGAUUAAUGAAUUCUUGUGUGAUUGAAGCUGUGUAACGUCUAUUUGUUCAAGUUACUGGUUUUAACCUGGACAGUUUCCAGGAAUAUUUGUAAGCGCCACUAGUUUUAUAGUAACGCAGUAAGGCAACAUGACACACUGUUUAAAGAGUAUUUUAACACAACAUUAACAUACAUUACAUAUAAAAUGGGACUUCAAAUCCAGCUGAACAGUGCAAAAGGGGCAUGAAAAAACAGUAAAAGAAAAGACCUGGAAGAAAGGCAUCACCUUCCCUUUGCCUUUAUGACUUGCCUGUGAGUUCUUCGCAUCCACUCAGAUCAGAUGCAGUGAAGGCUAAUAGUCUACACAGAAUGGUUUGAAGUCACCUUCACUAUCAUCCCAUCCUUGGUUUUUAUCAAAUACUUCUUUCUCUUCUUUCUCCACAUCUUUUUGUGCUUCUUUCUCUUCUUUUUGCAUUUCUUUUGAGUCUCAGAGUCCAAGAUAUAUUGACAGUGGAAGCCAAGACUUUCUCACCAUAAUAAAGAAACGACAAAUCUGGAGGGUCCUCCCUCUUAGCAAAUUGUUACUAAAGACAAGGAGACCUAUUCACUCUCCAUGUGUGGAGAAAAAGCAAAAGAUUAAACAAAA
rnacentral:lncRNA from 1 species